rnacentral:rRNA from 1 species
GACGAACGCUGGCGGCGUGCUUAACACAUGCAAGUCGAACGAUGAAGCGCCAGCUUGCUGGUGUGGAUUAGUGGCGAACGGGUGAGUAACACGUGAGUAACCUGCCCCCUACUCUGGGAUAAGCCUGGGAAACUGGGUCUAAUACUGGAUAUGACCAAUCACUGCAUGGUGUGUUGGUGGAAAGAUUUUUUGGUGGGGGAUGGACUCGCGGCCUAUCAGCUUGUGGGUGGGGUAAUGGCCUACCAAGGCGACGACGGGUAGCCGGCCUGAGAGGGCGACCGGCCACACUGGGACUGAGACACGGCCCAGACUCCUACGGGAGGCAGCAGUGGGGAAUAUUGCACAAUGGGCGAAAGCCUGAUGCAGCGACGCCGCGUGAGGGAUGACGGCCUUCGGGUUGUAAACCUCUUUCACCAGGGACGAAGCUAACGUGACGGUACCUGGAGAAGAAGCACCGGCUAACUACGUG